rnacentral:rRNA from 1 species
GACGAACGCUGGCGGCGUGCCUAAUACAUGCAAGUCGAACGCUUCUUUCCUCCCGAGUGCUUGCACUCAAUUGGAAAGAGGAGUGGCGGACGGGUGAGUAACACGUGGGUAACCUACCCAUCAGAGGGGGAUAACACUUGGAAACAGGUGCUAAUACCGCAUAACAGUUUAUGCCGCAUGGCAUAAGAGUGAAAGGCGCUUUCGGGUGUCGCUGAUGGAUGGACCCGCGGUGCAUUAGCUAGUUGGUGAGGUAACGGCUCACCAAGGCCACGAUGCAUAGCCGACCUGAGAGGGUGAUCGGCCACCAUGGGACUGAGACACGGCCCAGACUCCUACGGGAGGCAGCAGUAGGGAAUCUUCGGCAAUGGACGGAAGUCUGACCGAGCAACGCCGCGUGAGUGAAGAAGGUUUUCGGAUCGUAAAACUCUGUUGUUAGAGAAGAACAAGGACGUUAGUAACUGAACGUCCCCUGACGGUAUCUAACCAGAAAGCCACGGCUAACUACGUGCCAGCAGCCGCCGUAA